rnacentral:rRNA from 1 species
CCUACGGGAGGCAGCAGUAGGGAAUCUUCGGCAAUGGGCGAAAGCCUGACCGAGCAACGCCGCGUGAGCGAUGAAGGCCUUCGGGUCGUAAAGCUCUGUUGUUAGAGAAGAACAAGUACGAGAGUAACUGCUCGUACCUUGACGGUACCUAACCAGAAAGCCACGGCUAACUACGUGCCAGCAGCCGCGGUAAUACGUAGGUGGCAAGCGUUAUCCGGAAUUAUUGGGCGUAAAGCGCGCGCAGGCGGUCUCUUAAGUCUGAUGUGAAAGCCCACGGCUCAACCGUGGAGGGUCAUUGGAAACUGGGAGACUUGAGUGCAGGAGAGAAAAGUGGAAUUCCACGUGUAGCGGUGAAAUGCGUAGAGAUGUGGAGGAACACCAGUGGCGAAGGCGGCUUUUUGGCCUGUAACUGACGCUGAGGCGCGAAAGCGUGGGGAGCAAACAGGAUUAGAUACCCUGGUAGUCCACGCCGUAAACGAUGAGUGCUAGGUGUUGGGGGGGUUUACCACCCGUUCGNGUGCGUGUAGUAACGUACAUAAGUACACUCCGCCGUCGGGUAGGUACGACCGACGACGGUAGUAACGUACGAAGAAGUAGUAGACGUGAGAGAGACGACGACGACGACGACGGAGGGAGGAGG